CGUAACGCGUAUAGAACUUACCUUUUACAGGGGAAUAGCCUUUAGAAAUGAAGAUUAAUGCCUCAUAGUAUUGCGAGACGGCAUCGUUUUGUAAUUAAAGAUUUAUCGGUAAAAGAUGGCUAUGCGUCCUAUUAGCUAGAUGGUAAGGUAACGGCUUACCAUGGCAACGAUAGGUAGGGGUCCUGAGAGGGAGAUCCCCCACACUGGUACUGAGACACGGACCAGACUCC
rnacentral:rRNA from 1 species